rnacentral:tRNA from 1 species
AGCAACAUAGCUCAGUCGGUAGAAGCGUCUGGCUCAUAUCCAGAAGGUCAAGGGUUCGAGUCCCUUUGUUGCUACCA